CUGAGAAUUUUGAAAAAAAAUGCAAAAAUUUUUGAAAGUAAACAAGGCUCUGGACUCGCGGAGUCGAGUCAUGUGUUUGCAUGUACGUGUGCCUUCUUGGCGUAUGCUAGCAUUUUUUUCUCUUUUUUUAAUGUGGGCUCGAUCCUUCUCAGAAAAGCCAGGAAUUGGAAUUAGAGGCCAGCAACGAUUCAAUAUUGGUCCAAAUACUAAUACUACUGGGUGUUACGAUUCAAUAUUGGUCCAAAUACUAAUACUACUGGGUGUUACAUACCUAGGGCGUGGGGCCCUGCCUAAAGAGAGUCCACAUAACAAUUCUAGUUGGUUUCAUGUCCGUCGCUUGAGCCUUCUAUCCUAAGCGGCAAUACGCCAUGUGGGCUCGAUCCUUCUCAGAAAAGCCAGGAAUUGGAAUUAGAGGCCAGCAACGAUUCAAUAUUGGUCCAAAUACUAAUACUACUGGGUGUUACGAUUCAAUAUUGGUCCAAAUACUAAUACUACCGGGUGUUACAUACCUAGGGCGUGGGGCCCUGCCUAAAGAGAGUCCACAUAACAAUUCUAGUUGGUUUCAUGUCCGUCGCUUGAGCCUUCUAUCCUAAGCGGCAAUACGCCAAUAGCGCCGCCGACGCCGUUCAC
rnacentral:lncRNA from 1 species